rnacentral:lncRNA from 1 species
CCUGGCUCCAUUGCCUUUACCAGAGCAAGCUUUAUUGAUUCCACUAGAAAAUCAUGAUAAGUUAAAGCAUCUGCCGUGUGAGGUCUACCAGCACAUUAUUCAGCCAACCAUGCUAACCAACAAGGUCAAAUUUACCUUUCCUCCGGCUCCCCUGCCUCCUCCCAGCACUCCGGUGCAGCCUUUGCCUUUGCAGCGGCCCUUCUGUUCUACCUCUGUAACCACUAUCCAUCACACUGUUUUACAGCACCAUGCUGCAGCUGCGGCGGCAGCAGCUGCAGCUGCAGCUGCAGGAACCUUCAAAGUGCUUCAGCCACACCAACAGUUCCUUCCCCAAGUUCCUCCUCUCGCCAGAACAUCUAUACCUCAGAUCUCCGUAGGAACUGUAGGACCUAGGCUUUGUCCAGGACGUCAGCCAGCUUUGGUCGCUUCUCCUCAGAUGCCAAUCAUCCCUGCCUCUGUUCUUCACCCCAGCCACUUGACUUUUCCACCCUUACCCCAUGCAAUUUUUCCUUCAUUGCUUUCACCUCAUCCAACUGUCAUUCCCCUCCAGCCCCUCUUCUAGUCACCACCAUAAAGAAAAAAGAACAUAUGUAUGAGUAGGUGUUUAUCUACAUGCAUAGUUGGCUAUUUAACUGACAGAAUAAACCAGCCAACGCUGGCCUUAUUUCAAACCAUUUACUGUAAGUGUAAUGAUGCUAAUAAAUUAUUAAAGUUUCUGAUAUAUAAUAUUAUUAAAGCACUGAUUAGUUUGAGAAUCAAAAUACAAUAUAUGCUGUAUAUUAAAAUGAUGUCUUAAGAGUAUGUAUAAUGUACAUAAAAUAUAUUUAUGGUACUAUAAUUUAUGUUGUAAAGUAUGCUCCUUGUUUUUUCUAAUCUUUGUGUAUUUGCACCUUUAAUGUUUAGACAAAGAUGAUGGCCCUAUUUGUUUUGUACCAUGUUCCUUGAAACUGUAAAUUCAG